rnacentral:lncRNA from 1 species
GGUCCUGCUAUGUUGCCCAGGCUUGUCUUGAAUUCCUGGCCUCAAGAGAUCCUCCCUCCAUGGCAUCCCAAAGCACUGGGAUUACAGGCAUGAACCACCUCACCUGGCCUCCGUUAGUCUUAACUGCUAUCUGAGGUCUCUGAAUGCUCUAAUCUCCCUCCAGGCUGACAGUACGUGCUCCCCAAGUGUUUUGCAAUGUUUUUUCUUUUUCAAUUAUGACAUAUAUAAUUAUUAAGUCCCAUUAUGGAAAUUUAAAACAUUUUCCAAAUGAAAGAUUAAAAACCCAGUAACAAUUGUAUUAAAACAGGGGGGAAAACAUUUUCAAACUACAUCUCAGAUGUUGGGUUGGUGUCUGUGAUUUGUGAAACGUACUCAUUAACAAAACAAUUGGCAAUGAUUUCAACAGAAAAUUCAAAUAAGUAUAUACAUGGACAAUAAACAUAUUAAAUAUGCAAAAACCACAAGAACUAAUAAGAUGCAAAUAUUUUAAAAUCCUGAUAAAUGAUAAUAAGUGGAAAUGACAAGAUGAGGACUGUGACUGCACUUUUGGAGAAGACAAUGUGUGUGUGUAUGGGGGAGUGAACGUGUUUAUGUGCAUCUCACAGGGACAUGUCUGAAGAGUAUGUGCCAUCCUAGGGACAGCAGACCCUUUGGGGUCAGGGGGCCGGAGUCAGGUCUGUGAGAGAUGCAGGAUAAAAUUCCUAUUUUUGAGUGUAAUUUUGCAUAUUUUAAAAAACUUUAUAUUAAGGAGAAGAGUAUUUUGACAAAAACUUGAGCACAAAAAAUCCUUAUGAAGAGAUCGAUAAAAGAAUUGUAUAUAUGUAUUCACUAAUUUGUGAAAACAUUCAAUGUAUUUGAUUUUAUAGUGAAACAAAAUAGAUAAAAAUUGAAUUGACUGUAUUUCUACAUGUGUGUGUGUUUGUGUCUGUUUCUCCUCCAGCUA